rnacentral:lncRNA from 1 species
AAAACAAGUUUUUAAACCCUAAACUCUAAAUACAAACUUUAAACUCUAUUUUAACAUCAAAUCCUAAAUUUAACUUCAAAUGUUAGAUAUAAAUUCAAAAAUUAAUCUUUUCCAAAAAUUUAUCUCAGAUCUUAAAAUCAAUAUCCCAAACUUUUAACUUUUAAAUCCUAUACUCAUACAUUUAUUCUAAACUCCAAAUUUUAUAUAUAAACUCUACAAGUAAUUAAAAAUUUCUCAACACUAAAAAUUUUAUUCUCAAAGUUUAAACUAAUCUCUAACCCUUAAUAUUUACAAUUUCUAAAAGUAUUUAUCUCCGUAUAAUUUUAAAACUACAAUAAAAAUAUCCAUAAUUAUUAAUCUCCUUUUGCUUAGAAAAAAAUAUAGUAAUCCUCCUACUAUUCUUUCAUUGGCCAAAACAAAAAGUGUGUGGAUUGCAAAGUGUACACCAUUGAUUAAAUUCAUUUAAUGGUUCAGAUUCAUUCAAUCUAUGUUUCUUCCUCUCCCUCUCUCGUGUUUUUGUUAUACAAUCAGACCACAAUUCAUUAUUCUUUUUAGUUUCUUUUAUUCUUUUUUUUUGUUUCAGAUCUGAAACAAUUUUUUAUCUCUGUCUUAUUCACUACGACACCAUCUCUCUUUGCACAUCGUUUUUUUUUCUUCUCUAGAAUCUCUCUCGUCUCUUUUGUUUCCGUCUUCAAGGCCAACCACUCAUCUUCUUCUUUGUAUCUCAUCUCUUCUCCACCUCUGCUCAAGCUUGCC